rnacentral:rRNA from 1 species
UGGGGAAUUUUGGACAAUGGGCGAAAGCCUGACCCAGCAAUGCCGCGUGUGUGAAGAAGGCCUUCGGGUUGUAAAGCACUUUUGUCCGGAAAGAAAUCCUUGGCUCUAAUACAGUCGGGGGAUGACGGUACCGGAAGAAUAAGCACCGGCUAACUACGUGCCAGCAGCCGCGGUAAUACGUAGGGUGCAAGCGUUAAUCGGAAUUACUGGGCGUAAAGCGUGCGCAGGCGGUUUGCUAAGACCGAUGUGAAAUCCCCGGGCUCAACCUGGGAACUGCAUUGGUGACUGGCAGGCUAGAGUAUGGCAGAGGGGGGUAGAAUUCCACGUGUAGCAGUGAAAUGCGUAGAGAUGUGGAGGAAUACCGAUGGCGAAGGCAGCCCCCUGGGCCAAUACUGACGCUCAUGCACGAAAGCGUGGGGAGCAAACAGGAUUAGAUACCCUGGUAGUCCACGCCCUAAACGAUGUCAACUAGUUGUUGGGGAUUCAUUUCCUUAGUAACGUAGCUAACGCGUGAAGUUGACCGCCUGGGGAGUAC